GGUACAGGAAGUAGCUGAGAGUAGGAAGAGAAGGGGGUGGGGUAGUACUGGGAGCUGGGGAUUGGAAGCUGCUCUCCCUGUGAAAUUUCCUGGUGCAGAACUCUGAAUCCAACAAUUUUAAGUUCCAAUCUGGCUUUCAGCAUAAGUUUUCUCCAGAAUUGACUCUACUGUGAAGAACAUGGUGGCGCUGACAUUUACUGACAUACAUUCCCCUGCCCUCAGAUCCACAUUGAAGAGAAGAAUGAAUGGAUCAGGAUCACAAUGAAAAGAGAUCAGAAAACUGAAGUGUAGAAAGAUGAAAUAACUUGAAAGAUUGCAACGACUCUGGCUACCAUGUGAAGGAAAGAGUGACAGAAUAAAAGACACAGCAGCAAGACUGACUGGGAGGCUGAUACGCUAAUGCCCAAUGGAAGAUGAAGUAACUGAAACUAGUUUGUUGGAAAUGAAAAUACAAGAACCUUCCACCCCCAGUUUCCUGGUUCUUGAUGGCUUUCACACGGCAUGGAAGAUAACCAGAAGUUUCCACAUGCUUCUGGUGGAAUUUCAAAGGAAAGGAGCUGCGAACCAGUAGGCUUUCCAUGGGACUAUCUGCUGAAGACUGAAAUGAUUCCCCAAACAGGUUGUCUGGCCAAAGGGACAUGGAGAUGUAUUGAUAUUUAAGAAACAGUCCUGAUAACAAGUUUGAACUGUGAAGUUGAUCAUUUAACAAGUGUGAUGAUUAAAGAAUGUGAUGAUUUUACCCAAAAAGGAUUGUUUUAAAUUGGAAGAAACUUCGAGAGACCUUCAAUGAAAAAUCAAGAUUUUCUUCAUCUUUUUUUAGAGGAUAAAAUCAUGUGUUAAAAUAAAGAAUAUUGUGCUCUAACUUUUCCAUCUCUGAAUAUGUGCAAAUCCAUUUGAUUAAGUGAUAUGGCAGUUACUGUAGGCUUCCUCAAGAGUUGCAGCAGAACUCACUGGGCAGAGGAACCAUAAUAGGGUCAUUUGAGGAGUAAGAAGAUGAGGAAAUGGAGGCAGCAAGAGAAAUGUGGCUGUUUAGGGUCGGUAAAGUUAGGAAAUGUACUUGAGGGUAUGGAAGAAAGGAUUCUAUUUAUUUUGGCAAAAAAAACAAUGAAUUUAAAUGUCGAUGAGAGAGAUCAGAAAAGAGAAAGAGUGGAAAUUGAAGAAAAAGAAGGAAAUUAAUGGAGAAUGUAGAAAAUAAAUACAGUAGAAAAAAUACAGGGGUAUGUCUAACUGACUCCAAGGAGAGAAUGGCCUUUAUAAACAAUACCAAAGAAAGGCAACUACAAGCAGCAUUAACAGCGGACCUCUUGUAUGCAUCAGAAAUCACCUGAUAUAAAAUUUAAAAGACUAUAGAUAGCUUUACUAUAUAAUAAGACUUCAAGACUCAAGAAAAUGUGUAAGCAUGUACAUAAAAAAAUUUACAGGGGAUAUACACUUAUAACUCACAAAAGAAUGCAACCCAAUUGAUAGAAAGAUGAUGUUCAGCUUUGCUAUUAAAAAAUGCAAAUUGAAACAAUAAGAAACAAUCUUGCUUUUUAAAUUAGCAAAGAUAAAAAUUAGACCAUCUGUUUACUUCCUUUGUAAUACUUAAAACAGUGUAGAACUAAUUUAUAAGCUGGUCUGUUCAUUUACUUCAGU